UACGUAGGGGGCAAGCGUUAUCCGGAUUUACUGGGUGUAAAGGGAGCGUAGACGGCUGUGCAAGCCAGAUGUGAAAGCCCGGGGCUCAACCCCGGGACUGCAUUUGGAACUGCGUGGCUUGAGUGUCGGAGAGACAGGCGGAAUUCCUAGUGUAGCGGUGAAAUGCGUAGAUAUUAGGAGGAACACCAGUGGCGAAGGCGGCCUGCUGGACGAUGACUGACGUUGAGGCUCGAAAGCGUGGGGAGCAAACAGG
rnacentral:rRNA from 1 species